rnacentral:rRNA from 1 species
CUUUGGGAUAACCCUCGGAAACGGGGGCUAAUACCGAAUAUGACCUCGCAUCGCAUGGUGUGUGGUGGAAAGUUUUUCGGCCUGGGAUGGGCUCGCGGCCUAUCAGCUUGUUGGUGGGGUGAUGGCCUACCAAGGCGACGACGGGUAGCCGGCCUGAGAGGGCGACCGGCCACACUGGGACUGAGACACGGCCCAGACUCCUACGGGAGGCAGCAGUGGGGAAUAUUGCACAAUGGGCGGAAGCCUGAUGCAGCGACGCCGCGUGAGGGAUGACGGCCUUCGGGUUGUAAACCUCUUUCAGCAGGGACGAAGCGUAAGUGACGGUACCUGCAGAAGAAGCGCCGGCCAACUACGUGCCAGCAGCCGCGGCGAGACGUAGGGCGCGAGCGUUGUCCGGAUUUAUUGGGCGUAGAGAGCUCGUAGGCGGCUUGUCGCGUCGACCGUGAAAACCUGGGGCUCAACCCCAGGCCUGCGGUCGAUACGGGCAGGCUAGAGUUCGGUAGGGGAGACUGGAAUUCCUGGUGUAGCGGUGAAAUGCGCAGAUAUCAGGAGGAACACCGGUGGCGAAGGCGGGUCUCUGGGCCGAUACUGACGCUGAGGAGCGAAAGCGUGGGGAGCGAACAGGAUUAGAUACCCUGGUAGUCCACGCUGUAAACGUUGGGCGC